UGAAGAUCGGAGACUACUGAGGUGAUCCUUAAGGCGAGCACUUCACAUCUAUUCGAUCAGUUUCUACAAUAGAGUAAGGUUAAUUUUCUACCUUUUUCUUGGUCUGCUUAUCCUUCUUGUGCAUGUGAACCAUCUAGGAUUGCAUGCGAUGUUUGAGUUUUCUAUAAAAGUCUCUAAUGAUCAAUGGUUCUAAUGGUAUGCCCUG
rnacentral:lncRNA from 1 species